CAACCUGCCCAUCACUUGGGGAUAACCUUGCGAAAGUAAGACUAAUACCCAAUGACGUCUCUAGAAGACAUCUGAAAGAGAUUAAAGAUUUAUCGGUGAUGGAUGGGGAUGCGUCUGAUUAGCUUGUUGGCGGGGUAACGGCCCACCAAGGCGACGAUCAGUAGGGGUUCUGAGAGGAAGGUCCCCCACAUUGGAACUGAGACACGGUCCAAACUCCUACGGGAGGCAGCAGUGAGGAAUAUUGGUCAAUGGGCGAGAGCCUGAACCAGCCAAGUAGCGUGCAGGAUGACGGCCCUAUGGGUUGUAAACUGCUUUUAUAAGGGAAUAAAGUGAGUCUCGUGAGACUUUUUGCAUGUACCUUAUGAAUAAGGACCGGCUAAUUCCGUGCCAGCAGCCGCGGAAAUACGGAAGGUCCGGGCGUUAUCCGGAUUUAUUGGGUUUAAAGGGAGCGUAGGCCGGAGAUUAAGCGUGUUGUGAAAUGUAGACGCUCAUCGUCUGCACUGCAGCGCGAACUGGUUUCCUUGAGUACGCACAAAGUGGGCGGAAUUCGUGGUGUAGCGGUGAAAUGCUUAGAUAUCACGAAGAACUCCGAUUG
rnacentral:rRNA from 1 species